rnacentral:rRNA from 1 species
GCACUUUGGGAUAAGCCUGGGAAACUGGGUCUAAUACCGAAUAUGACUAUGGGAUGCAUGUCCUGUGGUGGAAAGCUUUUGCGGUGUGGGAUGGGCCCGCGGCCUAUCAGCUUGUUGGUGGGGUCACGGCCUACCAAGGCUCCGACGGGUAGCCGGCCUGAGAGGGUGUCCGGCCACACUGGGACUGAGAUACGGCCCAGACUCCUACGGGAGGCAGCAGUGGGGAAUAUUGCACAAUGGGCGCAAGCCUGAUGCAGCGACGCCGCGUGGGGGAUGACGGCCUUCGGGUUGUAAACCUCUUUCACCAUCGACGAAGGUCCGGGUUUACUCGGAUUGACGGUAGGUGGAGAAGAAGGACCGGCCAACUACGUGCCAGCAGCCGCGGUAAUACGUAGGGUCCGAGCGUUGUCCGGAGUUACUGGGCGUAAAGAGCUCGUAGGUGGUUUGUCGCGUUGUUCGUGAAAACUCACAGCUCAACUGUGGGCGUGCGGGCGAUACGGGCAGACUAGAGUACUGCAGGGAAGACUGGAAUUCCUGGUGUAGCGGUGGAAUGCGCAGAUAUCAGGAGGAACACCGGUGGCGAAGGCGGGUCUCUGGGCAGUAACUGACGCUGAGGAGCGAAAGCGUGGGGAGCGAACAGGAUUAGAUACCCUGGUAGUCCACGCCGUAAACGGUGGGUACUAGGUGUGGGUUUCCUU